GCAACUCCCUUAUCAGGAAAUUGCACAAUGCCACAAGACCGUGAUAUGGCAUUUGAUUUGGUUAAGCAAAUGAAUAAUUUUGGGAUUCUUUCCAGGUUGAGACCAUUUGGGCCGGCAUUGCUCGGGAUUUGUGAGAAGGGAAUGGCUGAGAAGGCUGGGGUUGUGCCUGAGGAGGCAGAGCUCUCUGCACUAUUAAAUAUUAGUUCAGAGUCUAAAAAGGGAAGAGAAAGUAUAUCAAGUGAUGCAUAGAUUAAGAGCAUCAGAAAGGCAGGUCCUCAUUAGAGACUUAUGGUGCAAUUUUGCUGUCAAUUCCCAGUAUUUGAGUUUCCGUGCUUCGGGCAUGUAGGUGAAAGAGUAUUGGACUAAUUUUCAAGGUGCACUUCUCCAGAAGUGGCUACACAACCGUGAUCCAUUUGAUGCAGUGGUGGAUGGUGCAGAUAUUGACCUUAUUAUUCAACGUAAUUAUAAUUUUGCCCAGAUGGAAAUGUAUGUUGUGCCUGAUGGAAUGAAAAACAUCAGGAGCAGAAAAUACUGAUGAUGAUGAAAGAACUGAUGAUAUGCAACAGAAUGAUGUUGCUGUUGCGGAAAAGAGUGAUGAUGAAAAGGGAGCGGAUGAUUAGCUAAUGUGUGAUGUUGUUGUUGCUGCUCUGAUAAGGUGCAUUUACACAAACAUAACCUAUAAUUGUACAUUAGGCGUAAACCAUCCGUUGUAUACUUAUUUUUAAUGUAUUAGAAAGGCUUUAGGACUAUGAUAUUCAUGAUGAGGAGACAGGUGUGUUAUUGCAUAACUCAAACCUGCUAUGAAACAAUAAAGAAUCUUAAUUGUGCAUAUUUUUAAUUGUUAUCUUCU